rnacentral:misc_RNA from 1 species
CAUUAACAAAAUAGGACCUGACCCGAGCCUGUUGAAUGGGCGAGUUGUAUCUAUAUAUGAUAUGACUCGCACACUGUCCUCGGCAGGGGGGGUGGAUCGGGAUAGGGAUAGGGAUCGGGAUCGAACAUGAUUGAUCUUGCCCGAUCCCGAUCCCGAUUUCGAUCCCGAUCCACCCGCCAGCCGAGGAUGGCUUAGCAAACACCCUGUAUUGAUAGAUGAAAUGUACGAGAACAUUGAAUUGAAUGAAAAACAACUUUUAACAAUGGAUCUCUUGGCUCUUGCAACGAUGAAGAACGCAGCAAAAUGCGAAAAGUAUUGUGACACGCAAUCUUCGAGAAUCAACGAAUAUUUGAACGCACCUUGCACCUCCAGGCCUUGUCUGGAGGUAUACUUGAUUGAGCAUCGAUCGAUCCACAUUCGCGCAUUGGACCGAACCGAAUUGCCCCUGUGUGAGGUGUUUGUUCGGUUCGAGAGCGGAACUGACCCUCUCUCUCUGUCUCUCUUGACUGGGGAGAGUGGGUUGAAAUGCAGGCAAUCGACACGCACACCCGUCCGUGGGAUAAUCUCAUCGCACACGAGACGGAAGAGCAGCGUCGACAGCAGACCCAGAGCGCGCACCAUGCACGCAUCAUGCACGCACCAUGCGAGCACCAUGCACGCACCAUGCACCUCGAACAAGGAUCUCAAAUCAAGUAGGAAGACCCGCUGAACUUAAGCAUAUCAAUAAGCGGAGGAAAGGGCGAAUUCGCGGCCGCUAAAUUCAAUUCGCC